rnacentral:lncRNA from 1 species
GACACCAGCAUACCAUUUUUAGCCCCACUCACCCAAGGCGUAAAAACGUGAUUGAAGAUACGUCUGAAUCGCCGUCACAUCACACUGACUCAUCCCAAUCAACGCUUUCAAGCAGAUCGACUUCGUCCACUGACACCAGUGACUCUACUACGUCCACGUCCUCCGAAAGUGCGGGAAAUGUCAAGGCUGCGAAAAAGAACAAACUCAAAUCCUGGUUCAUGAAAAUAUUUGGGUUGAAAUCAAGGAAGGAAGGAAGGAAAUGUGGAGUCUUUGAGAGAAACCGUGAAAAGAAGGAGAAGGAUGUUAGGAGUUCCGAGUGUUGUCCCUCUCCCUCUCCCCAUCUGUGUCUUGUCUGUUUCCCUUGUCUGUCAAUUCUCAGGGUGGGCGGAACGGCUUCCAGACUCUCACCCGUCAGGCGAUCGAAACACACCCGAGACUGAGCUCCAGUCAAUCAUCCACACCAGCCGUUCACUUGAAAAGCCUGGUCAACUCUCCAACCAUCGACAAAUCGUUGUGAUCGCUUUUCGGAUGCCUGUUCGCACUGCUCAGCCUGCUCCAGCGAGACCGUGUUUGUGUGCUUCCAGCACCACUUGGUUCUGUUCUCUAACCAGAUUCUUAGUAAAACGAUUCUCAAUCUCACCUGGUUGUGUGUGUCUGCUUUUGGGGUCUUGAUUUGUGUCUGCAGUGGUUGAGGUGGACGCCACGGACGUGGGGGUUGGGGCCGUGCCGUACCUGUGCUCUGGCCCUGACAAUCGGUUACAUCCCUGUGCCUUUUAUUCCCGCCGUUUUACCACCGCUGAGGCCAACUACGAUGUGGGGAACCAUGAGUUUCUGCCAAUAAAAUUGGCAUUGGAAGAGUGGCGACACCUGCUGAAGGGGGCCAAACAAUCUUUUGUGGUCUGGACCGACCGCAAGAAUCUCGCCUACAUCCAGUCAGCAAAGAGGCUAAAUUCUCUUCAGGCCAGGCAGAAGAGCCUGAUGGUGGAGGAGGCCUGAUGGUGGAGGUGACCUGAUAAUGGGACAGGGCCUGGCGGUGGAGGUGGCCUGAUAAUGGGACAGGGCCUGACGGUGGAGGUGGCCUCUAAUGAAAGAGCCUGACAGUGGAGGAGCCCUGAUGGUGGAGGUGGACUCCCAUAUAACAUUGUACCUACUUCAUAGACCAAUAUAAAAAAAUAGUUGUGCUAUUUUUUUUUACCUCAAUUUGUUUUAAAAUUGAAAUGUGAAAUAUUCAAUUUUCUUAUAUAUUGUUUAUUGAAUAAAUGUAAUGCAAAUAUAUGAGUUUGAGG